AGCACUUACAUGUGUUUUUAUCUUACCUUUUGUGGAUUAAAAUUUAAAUGAACAGGUGCAAAAAAUAAAUCCUCUUUUGCAACCCAGAACUCAUUGUUUGGUUUAAGUUUUGAUACAUUAAAGAAGGAAUAUG
rnacentral:snoRNA from 1 species